ACGCUUCGGAGCAAACACUCGGAGUCGCUUCGGCACUCACCCAGCUCUGAGGAAAGUCCCCGGGCACUACGGCAGAGAGUGCCAGCCCUGACGGCAAGGUCCCCGCGGAUUGUGGGCGCAUGGAGACGGCCUCGCGCCUGAGUUUGCCCACGCCGCGGAUCCGGCCAGAGGAUACAGUCAUGCGUGUCGGGGCCCUUCUGGGCCCCAGAACAGAACGGGGCUUACUCUGGCG
rnacentral:RNase_MRP_RNA from 14 species